UAUGAAAUGUUUUGGUGAAAGUGGAUUUU
rnacentral:piRNA from 1 species